rnacentral:snRNA from 1 species
AUACUUACCUUAAGAUGCCAAGGGAGAUCAAGAAGUCCUUUUGGCCAAAUAUGCGCUUUCAGUUUAGAGGGAUGCUAGGCAUUUAAAUAUGUUAUAUGACAUAUUAUUUAAUUGAUGUAAGUUCCCUGGUCACUCGCACAUACGACUGCGAAAGGUGUGUUUGCUGACGUCUCGUUCUUUUACUUUUUCAAUAGUGGUAUUAUGUUAAUUUCUUCGGAAGUACACCAUUUUACCAAUGUUGUCAAGUCCUUUUUUCCUUCUGCCUGGAGAAGUAUGGUACCGAGUACAAAUCGGUAUUAAGGGAGUUGAGGUGUAUCAAAAACUGCAAUUGAAUUUGAGGAUGAUUUGUUUUCGAUAGUAGUUAUUUACAUCAUGAUAGUUACUGAUUAAAAUCUUGACUUUCUGUUUCGAUUUUUAAGGUAGAGUAUUUUAUUAUGACUAAAUGAUUACAUAUUGUUGUUUUCAGAGUGUCACUAUUUGACAAUUCGAUAUUCAGUUGUGUUUCCUCGGAAGGUUUUUGUUAUAUCUUGAUAGAGACGGGUGGAUCUUAUAAUUUUUGAUUUAAUC